UGAGGUAUUAUUUAUAUCUGGUGUCAGGUGGGUGCCAGAUUCAUUCUGUUCAGUGUGGAAACCCAGCUGUGCCGGCGCCACCUGUUGAAGAGACUACUGUCCUCGGUGAGCAGGCUCGGUUCCGGAUAAGCAGCCGUGGAGGCAAGCGUAGGUUAUACCUGGACCGGCUGCCGCUCCCUCCGUCCCCUGGACUCACUAGUCUUGUGCAAGGCUGCUCUGGUGUGCUCACGGGAGCUUUGGUAUAGAUUUUGGAAUCAAGAGUCCUCUAACUUUGUUAUUUUCCAAGGUCGUUUUGGCCUUUCAGGGUCUACUGCAAUACCCCACGGGUGUGAGGCUCACCCUCUUCGUUGCCGCAAAGAAGACCGUUGGGAUUUCGGGGUGGGUUGCGCGGACUCUGCAGGUCACGUCGAGUACUAUUGACGUAAUAACAACAUCACGCCUUCCUUCUUACAAACGGGAUGCCUUUCUCCUUGUUUAGAUUUACUUCAUUUCAGCGGUGCUGGUGGUUUUCAGCCUACAGAUGGUUUGCUGCCUUGGUUAGGCUUACUGCUAAGCAUUUUAUUCUUUUAGAUGCUACUGCAAACGCAGCCCUCCCCCACCUGUGACGGGGGUCCCUCCCUCUGGGGUACAGCUCUCAGAGUUGUCCACGCUGAGCUGUACACACUUCAUCACGGUGCAGGUUUCCUGCCCUGGUUCGGGUUCCCGAGGUGGUUUCUACUUGUGAGUCUCUGUUCUGGCACACAGUGAGAGAGAGAGGCAGAGACAUAGGCAGAGGGAGAAGCAGGCUCCAUGCACCGGGAGCCCGACGUGGGACUCAAUCCCGGGUCUCCAGGAUCGCACCCUGGGCCAAAGGCAGGCGCCAAACCGCUGCGCCACCCAGGGAUCUCUUGGGAUAUUUUUGAAUAAACAUUCAGUGUUCUUACUAGUAAUUUGUUCAGACUCUACUUUUCUUGAUUCAGUUUUAGUAGGUUGUAUGUUUCUAGAAUUCCAAUUACUUGACAUAUAACUGUUCUUGACAGUUACAUGAUUUCCAAUUACUUGACAUAUAACUGUUCUUGGUAGUCUCUUUUCAUCCUUCGUAUUUCUGUAGUGUCAGUUGUUAUGUCUCCUCUUUCAUUUGUAAUUUUGUUGAUUUGGUUCUUUUUUAAUGAUUAGUCCAGCUAAAUGUUUGCCAAUUUUGUUUAUCUUUUCAAAGAACCAACUCAUAGUUUUGUUCAUCUUUCCUAUUGUUUCCUGUUCUCUACUUUA
rnacentral:lncRNA from 1 species